rnacentral:rRNA from 1 species
GGUCGUAAACCUUUUUUAUCAGGAAGGGAUGAUGACCGUCCCUGAUUAAUAACCACCGCCUUUUCCAGU